CAAGGAGAAGCCAGGGAGGGUUCUUCCA
rnacentral:piRNA from 1 species